rnacentral:rRNA from 1 species
GAUGAACGCUGACAGAAUGCUUAACACAUGCAAGUCAACUUGAAUUUGGGUUUUUUAACUUCGAUUUGGGUGGCGGACGGGUGAGUAACGCGUAAAGAACUUGCCUCACAGCUAGGGACAACAUUUGGAAACGAAUGCUAAUACCUGAUAUUAUGAUUAUAAGGCAUCUUAGAAUUAUGAAAGCUAUAUGCGCUGUGAGAGAGCUUUGCGUCCCAUUAGCUAGUUGGAGAGGUAACGGCUCACCAAGGCGAUGAUGGGUAGCCGGCCUGAGAGGGUGAACGGCCACAAGGGGACUGAGACACGGCCAUUACUCCUACGGGAGGCAGCAGUGGGGAAUAUUGGACAAUGGACCAAGAGUCUGAUCCAGCAAUUCUGUGUGCACGAUGACGUUUUUCGGAAUGUAAAGUGCUUUCAGUUGGGAAGAAAAAAAUGACGGUACCAACAGAAGAAGUGACGGCUAAAUACGUG